rnacentral:lncRNA from 1 species
UUUCGUGCCAUGCGUGAGAGCCGGUAAAGAGCCAGAACCGAUGUCCACGUCAUCGGAACUGAAUGAAAUAUUGAUCGGAUCGUAGAAGAAGGUGACUUUUUUGUUAGGGUUACGAGCGAUGACGGUGAGGUUGAAUUUGGAGACGAGUUUAGUGGAAGUGAGAUUGAAUUGCGAGACUUGAAGAGAAGAAACUGAAAACGACGGUCUCUGAGGACGGUAAAGGACCCAGAAAAUAGCGCCGGCGAUGGCCGCGAGGAAGACGAUAGUGAUUAUGAAGAAUGUCGUCCAGAGACAACAGCAACAGCAGCAGCUCCGUCGGUGUUUACGACGG